rnacentral:rRNA from 1 species
UACAGAGGUCUCAAGCGUUGUUCGGAUUCAUUGGGCGUAAAGGGUGUGUAGGUGGCGCGCUAAGUCGGGUGUGAAAUUUCGGAGCUUAACUCCGAAACUGCAUUCGAUACUGGCGUGCUUGAGGACUGGAGAGGAGACUGGAAUUCAUGGUGUAGCAGUGAAAUGCGUAGAGAUCAUGAGGAAGACCAGUGGCGAAGGCGGGUCUCUGGACAGUUCCUGACACUGAGGCGCGAAAGCGUGGGGAGCGAACAGG